GCGGGGAUGGCCCAGCCCGGUAAGGCGCUGGAUUGCUAAUCCAGUGCUCUUUGAGCUCGGGGGUUCAAAUCCCCCUCCCCGCGCCA
rnacentral:tRNA from 1 species